rnacentral:lncRNA from 1 species
GGUUCAUUAGUAGGGAGAAGAGAAAUAAAAGCGUAGUUUUUUCAGAUUGGUGGAAUAAUCCACUUUAUUGUCUGCAAAGUGUUUGAUUUCGUCUUGUUAUAAUGGGUAGGAUGGUGAUUUGCGCUGUAGAAAUGAAGAAGCUAUGCUGGUGUUGAGAAGUGGAGCUUAUAGUACUCAAUCAGAUGGUUCGUUGGGGUAAUCUGAUGCUGCUGGUUCUGGUUAUUGUGUAUUGGGUGAGUUGAGAUGUGGUUGCCACUUGACCUUUAUUUAUCAAUUAUCAUGUGUAUCUUAAAGUAGUUUUGUGGCAGCUAUAGUGUA